UGCAGAUGGAUACCCGUAGUAAUUCUAGAGCUAAUACAUGCCACGUGUUUAUUAGAUCUCCCCGCUGGGAACAACAGUAAGCGAGAACCGCGUCGGGAGACGCGGGGCAUCAUGCAAGUUUCUGCCCUAUCAGCUUUGGAUGGUAGUGUCUUGGACUACCAUGGCAGUGACGGGUGACGGAGAAUUAGGGUUCGAUUCCGGAGAGGGAGCCUGAGAGACGGCUACCACAUCUAAGGAAGGCAGCAGGCGCGCAAAUUACCCAAUCCUGACUCAGGGAGGUAGUGACCAGAAAUAACGACGACGGGUUUCGAUUCGUCGAUUGCAAUGAGCACAAUGUAAAAUUCUUAGCGAGUACCGACUGGAGGGCAAGUCUGGUGCCAGCAGCCGCGGUAAUUCCAGCUCCAGUAGCGUAUAUUAAAGUUGUUGCAGUUAAAAAGCUCGUAGUUGGACGUCUCUGCGACACGCAGCUCCGCCACGCAACUGGGCACGCUCUUAACUGAGCGGCCGAGACCUGCGGGCCCUUUACCUUGAGGAAACUAGAGUGUUUAAGGCAGGCUCCGCCUGAAUACUGCAGCUGGGAAUAAUGCGCACGACUGUCUUGGCGAGGCAGCUCCACACUUUUAAUAGGAACAGUUGGGGGCAUUCGUACUCAGCAGUCAGAGGAAAAAUUCUUGGAUUUGCUGAAGACGGACUAGUGCGAAAGCAUUUGCCAAGGAUGUUUUCAUUAAUCAAGAACGAAAGUUAAGGGAUCCAAGACGAUCAGAUACCGUCCUAGUCUUAACCAUAAACGAUGCCGACUAGGGAUCGGGAGAGACGUACACACUCUCUCGGCACCUCACGAGAAAUCCAAGUCUUUGGGUUCUGGGGGGAGUAUGGUCGCAAGACUGAAACUUAAAGGAAUUGACGGAUGGGCACCACAAGGAGUGGAGCCUGCGGCUUAAUUUGACCCAACACGGGGAAACUUACCAGGUCCAGACAUAGUGAGGAUUGACAGAUUGACAGCUCUUUCUUGAUCCUAUGGGUGGUGGUGCAUGGCCGUUCCUAGUUGGUGGAGUGAUCUGUCUGGUUAAUUCCGAUAACGAACGAGACCUCAGCCUGCUAACUAGAUCUUCUUAGAGGGACUUCCUGCUCGCACAGGAGGAAGUGAGGCAAUAACAGGUCUGUGAUGCCCUUAGAUGUCCUGGGCCGCACGCGCGCUACACUGACGCAACCUGCCAGUUCCAAGCCCGAACCGGCCUGGCAAACUGCCAACU
rnacentral:rRNA from 1 species